rnacentral:lncRNA from 1 species
GAACAAUCUCCAUCUUCUACACACACACACACACGAAGAGAUCACAUAUAACCUUUGAUGUUAAUUUUUAUUACACUUCAAAACGUGCAAAAGAGAAUAGACAAAAAUACAUUAGUUUGGGCGCCAUUUUUCCAGGAGCAGUUUCAACGCCAACCACGGUUUGCUGUUUUAUUACACAGCUUCUGUUUGCACUUUGAACUACGUGCUUGAGGCCGCUUACUCCACACCAUCUGCAAGCUGCAUCUGUGCAGCCCCAUCCACCUCGCUAACAGUCACAGCUGAACUUGACAUUAACCCACUUUGAAAGUAUGCAAUCUGUAAACUCUGAAACUUAUUAUUAUUGACUGACUCCACCGUUCAGAAAAAUCAGGAUGGCUAUGACUCCCGAAGUCCAAGAGGAAAGGAACAGUUACCAAACAAUUU